GCCCAGAUGGCGGAAUUGGUAGACGCGCUGGUCUCAAACACCAGUGGGGUUAAACCCGUGCCGGUUCGAGCCCGGCUCUGGGCACAA
rnacentral:tRNA from 1 species